rnacentral:rRNA from 1 species
UACGGAGGGGGCUAGCGUUGUUCGGAAUUACUGGGCGUAAAGCGCACGUAGGCGGCUAUUCAAGUCAGAGGUGAAAGCCCGGGGCUCAACCCCGGAACUGCCUUUGAAACUAGGUAGCUAGAAUCUUGGAGAGGUCAGUGGAAUUCCGAGUGUAGAGGUGAAAUUCGUUAGAUAUUCGGAAGAACACCAGUGGCGAAGGCGACUGACUGGACAAGUAUUGACGCUGAGGUGCGAAAGCGUGGGGAGCAAACAGG